GUAGCAAUAGCUUAAUAUGAGAGUAAUGGUCUUGUAAGUCAUUGGUGGGUGUAUCUGCCCUUGCUACA
rnacentral:tRNA from 1 species